rnacentral:tRNA from 1 species
CGGUGUGUAGCUCAGCCUGGUCAGAGCACUGCGUUUGGGACGCAGUGGCCCGAAGUUCGAAUCUUCGUACACCGACCA